AAGUUUUCAGCCAAGGGGAUCAUUUAGUAUAGUUCUUGACUUGAGAAAUGUGUUUCUAAAGUGUUUGGUCUCGCUACCCACGAGGAUGAGACGCGAUAUUCCCUUCUGAGCGCGAAGCGGGCUUUGAGUAAUGAUUCAUUUCAUCCGCUCUCUGCCAUUGAUGACCGUUCUUUGCUUCCUUGUGGAGCAUUGAGGGAGGGAAUAUGAUCAGAGUGGU
ensembl:snoRNA U3 Small nucleolar RNA U3